UACGUAGGGGGCAAGCGUUGUCCGGAAUCAUUGGGCGUAAAGCGCGUGUAGGCGGCUGAGUAAGUCCGCUGUGAAAGUCCAGGGCUCAACCCUGGGAUGCCGGUGGAUACUGUCGGGCUCGAGUCCGGAAGAGGCGAGUGGAAUUCCUGGUGUAGCGGUGAAAUGCGCAGAUAUCAGGAGGAACACCAAUGGCGAAGGCAGCUCGCUGGGACGUGACUGACGCUGAGACGCGAAAGCGUGGGGAGCAAACAGG
rnacentral:rRNA from 1 species